rnacentral:rRNA from 1 species
AUUGAACGCUGGCGGCAUGCCUUACACAUGCAAGUCGAACGGUAACAGGUUAAGCUGACGCGUGGCGAACGGGUGAGUAAUACAUCGGAACGUGCCCAGUAGUGGGGGAUAGCCCGGCGAAAGCCGGAUUAAUACCGCAUACGACCUAAGGGUGAAAGGGGGGGAUCGCAAGACCUCUCGCGAUUGGAGCGGCCGAUGUCAGAUUAGCUAGUUGGUGGGGUAAAAGCUCACCAAGGCGACGAUCUGUAGCUGGUCUGAGAGGACGACCAGCCACACUGGGACUGAGACACGGCCCAGACUCCUACGGGAGGCAGCAGUGGGGAAUUUUGGACGAUGGGCGCAAGCCUGAUCCAGCCAUGCCGCGUGCGGGAAGAAGGCCUUCGGGUUGUAAACCGCUUUUGUCAGGGAAGAAAUCCUUUGGGUUAAUACCUCGGGGGGAUGACGGUACCUGAAGAAUAAGCACCGGCUAACUACGUG